AUUUGGUUUCUGAUGUAUGAAGCGCGUCCUCUUUGCUCCGGCCUCCAUCCGUCCCGGCCAAUCCAUCCCCCAUCGAAUGGACUCCCCGCGGCGUCCCCUCCUCCGUCAUCGACGAGCACCUCGAGAACGUCUUCCGGCGUGGGUGAGUGUCUCAUGUUUUCCAUUACUACCGUUGCUUCUCCUGUGUUGCACACCAACUGCUUGCUCUUUUGUCUGAACAACCUUGAUGUUAACCUUAGGGUGUAGCUGCUUGUGUUGGCUCAACUUAGCAAUCGGUCAUUCUCCUAGAAAGGACUUCCGAUUUACCAAGCUAGAUAUUUUUUCUGCACAGUGGGUGCUUGUUGUUGUGCCUCCUGCCAUAAUUACCUCUUGUCUUGAUGCUUCAAACUACACCAUCAUUGCCACCAUAAACUCCUAUUGCACCUUCUCACACAAUUCUUAGGAUUUAUUGGAUGCCUAUUUCCCUGGCACUAUGAACUCCUAUUGCACCGACUGUAGAUGUUGCUCUUGUUAAUUUGGUGUUCGAGGACACAACUUUAUGCCGUGGUUCUUUUGAUGGUUGGUGAGCCAACUUUUGUGUUAGCUGCUCAUAGUGCUUGACCAGUGAGACACCGCCCGUGCUCUACUUGUGCUUCUUUUGCGAUCGUUCGCAAGAACAAAUGCAAGCAAUGCGUUUUAUGCAUCAUAAUGGAAGAAAAAUGUUGGCUCAACAUCUACAGUCCUGCUACUCCCUCUUACCUAUCAACAAGCCAGCAGUUUAGCUGCAUUUUCCUACCUCUUCAUGUCUCUAUAUCUCUCUCCACUGUCAGGUCCUCAACAACAUAUUUGCUGCUUUGUCUUACAUCUUCUCUUGAUUCUUGCUCGCAGUGCUUUGGCUGUAGAAUUUUGCAUGCAGGACAUUGAUAAGUGACUUAAUUUUAGUUCUUAUUUUACUUUGUUGGUUUUCUUCUCACCAGUCUUGUGUUUUAGGUGUUGUCUUUGUUCUGCAUUUACUCUCAAUAUGGCUACUUUGUUAUAUGUUUCAUUAAUGCAUGUUCUCAAUCAUGUGAAGAACAUAAAUGCAACUUGUUCCUAGAAGAAUUCGUCUGGUUUAUGAAUAUUGGAUGGUAAAGACUGGUCCAUGAGUGUAAAUAGCGGAGUUAAUACUAUGGUUUCAACUCCGGUAAUCGAAUUCCUCGUUCAUUGAGUUACUUCUUUUUCUCGUCCAAAUUUGUCCUUAGAUCAUCCUUACAAAUAUUUUGUAUGUUUGUAAGUCUCGAUACUGAUUCCAUCAACAUAAUAUAAGAGCAUAGACUUCCUUACAAGAGCCAAACUCCCCCAGCAAGGAAGAGGACCAACUUAAAGACAGAAGAAUCAUCAUAGGUAGAAAUCGGAGAUAGAAAUGCAUCAGUAGCUGCAACCUUUAUCUUUGCGGCGAGACUGGCAAUGGAGGUCACGCGUUCUGGGCCUUCUCCUUGGUCUCCUCCUUCUUGGAGGGCACUCGGCCAUCGGUCCCGGCGAGCAGCACGUACUUGUCCUUCCUGGUGAAGUUGGUGCCCUGGAAGCCCAGCGUGAUCGCCAGCACACGCUGUAUGUAAUUGGCGACCUCGAUGGGCGACUUCCCACCGGCGCAGGUGAGCUCCUUGGGCAGCUGGUUGAGGAAGGUGAUCUCGUAGGUGGGCCGCGGGUUCAUGAAGAAGAAGUAGGGGUCGAAGAGCUUCCACCCCCUGGCGGUCGUCCCGUGGAACAUGCUCUGCUUGGUGUUGAUGGCCACGGGGACGAUCCGGUCCGUGAGCUCCGCGAACAUGGCGCUGAACCUGAGGAGGAAGGGCUCCCGGCAGGUGGUGCCCUCGGGGCAGAUCACCAGGUCGCCUUCCUCCAGUAGGCGUUUGAUGUGCGCCGCGUCCUUGUCCCUCUCCCGCGACAGCGCCACGGCGUUGAUGGGGGAGAUGAGCUCGGAGAACUUGCUGAUGCUGUAGGUGACGCAGCUGAUCUUGCGGCGGAGGGCGACGGCGGUGACGACCGGGUCGAGCACGGUGCGAUGGUUGCACACGAAGAGCACGCCGGGGUGG
rnacentral:lncRNA from 1 species